rnacentral:rRNA from 1 species
ACGGAGGUCUCAAGCGUUGUUCGGAUUCAUUGGGCGUAAAGGGCGCGUAGGCGGCGGGGUAAGUCGGGUGUGAAAUCUCAGAGCUCAACUCUGAAACUGCACUCGAUACUGCUCUGCUUGAGGACUGGAGAGGAGACUGGAAUUCACGGUGUAGCAGUGAAAUGCGUAGAUAUCGUGAGGAAGACCAGUGGCGAAGGCGGGUCUCUGGACAGUUCCUGACGCUGAGGCGCGAAGGCCAGGGGAGCAAACGGGA